AAAUAAAAAAAAAAAUUGGUGGCAAAAAUGGCAACAGAUGGCAGGAUUUGAACAAGCUUAUUUGUCUAAUUGUGUAAAAGUCACCAUGACACAAACUGCCUGGAAAAUGACUCCUGAAAGAUUUAUCCACAUAGAAGGUGUUAUGUACAUAUGCUCCUCACUAGGUGCAAGUCAGUUGUGCACUUAUGUGUGUGUAUGCAUAGGACUUCCCCAAGUGUCAUUUUAAACUAAAUAUUUGGAGUUCUUCCUUAAACCAGACCAGAAAAUAUUUUUAUAAGGUUGAAUGUUUCUCUUAGACUUGUGGUAAAGCAAUCAUUCUCUAGCAUGAGUCACAACUAACUGUGUGACAAUUGCUUCAUAAUAUAUUACCAGAAUAGUUUGAUGGCAGUGAACAAGGCUUAGUCAUGUCUGUCUUCCUCUUCUGUGUCACUUCUGGGCUGUCUUGCCCUUACUGCUCAAGUGGGGCAUUGUGUGUAAUGCUUCAACAUAUUCCAGGGUUAAUUUGAAUGUGGAAUGGGUGAAUGCCUGACAUUCUCCAAACCUGACUCCAUUGUGAAGUUUUGCUGCAGGUUUAAUUCUGGGCACCUCUGUUGGAAUGGAUAGUUCUGAGAAAUUUUGGCAAAAAUGACUCACCACUGGCUUUAGACCACUUUGAGGAGUAUGGUGGGGGAUUCUGUUCUGUUGUCUGUGUGCCCUCACAUCUCACCUGCUGUGUCUGCUGUAGGGGGGUCCUUACCUCUGAAUGUAUAUCAGGUCUAAUGGAGAGCUGCCCCAGAUGGAACCAAGUGCAGUGUCCCCAGUGCUGGAAGGAAGCUAAGCACAGGUGAGUGAGGCUGGAAGCAGGUUUGUUUAAGAUGUGUGGGACACUUGGGCUGCUCUCAGGACCUGAGCUAUUUGUAGCUGCUCACUCAAGGGUGGCCAGAGUUCUAGGACAGGAGGAGCUGUGAGUAGAGGGGAAGGGCAGAAAAGGAUCAGGAGUAGAAACAUUGAAAAACUUAAAGUGAGAGCUAGGAGUACACUCAGUAAUUAGUAGUCAGUAAUCCAGUAGUAAAAAAAUUCACCUCUUACCUAAGAUAUCUCAAGAAGAAUUAAAAAAAAAAUGGACUGACAAAAUUAUUUUGUCUAAUAUUUACCUUUAAGCUGGACUGUUUGUUUGAAAACAGGAUUUUUGUGUGCAGUCUUUGAUUUCCACUUUCCAUAAGAAAUGAAAUAUUUCUCUAUGAAGAGAAGGAUAAAAUAUGGGAAUGAAUUCAGAAUAAACACCUCUGAAAAAAUUCAAUUGCCUUGAAAUGAAAAUGUUGAGAUUUUAUAUGUGGGAAAAAAAAAAAAAUCCAAAGGGAAAUAAGCAGUCUGAAAAUUUACCACAAUCUAGUCAAAACUAUUGCUUUUACUUAGAAAUUUUUCUUGACAUGAAAAUAUUAGUUUACUUGUCUGCUGCCUUGGAUUUUUUUGUUCAAGAUACUGCAUUUCUUCUGGCUUUAAAAUGCAUCUUUACAAAUAUUCUUUUAAAACCACUUCUUACCUUGUUUCUACUACUCAGCAGAGAAUAGGAGCUGAAGGUAACAAAGCCAAAUUAAUGCAACUGGCCAGUAUUAAGUACCUGUAUUAGAAGGAUGCUUCUGUCUUCCUUGAGGAACUAUAAACCAGAUACUACUGUGCCAUAUACAGCUUGUUAUAAACAUGCAAAUAAUUGAUCAGUUUUUGUUUAAAGAGUGCUUCUUAUCCCAGACAAAAUAAACCCUGUAAAGUCUUCACCUUAAUUUGUCAUUAAAAAUGCAACUUCACUGUUGUUACCUUUUGCUGUAAAUGAAUUAAAAUAGAUACAGAGGGGGUAGUGGUAGGUAAAGCACAGGUUUGAUACAAUCAGAAGUGCAGUUUUGCACUGGUAUUGCUGGUGUUUUUCAGUCAUACAGUGAGCACUUGCUGAUCUGGGAAUGUACCAAGCCUUUCAGAUGCAAAUGUGACUGUAAAUGUAUGAAUUUAUGUGGAUGUGUAGAUUAAACUGAAAAGGAACUGGGAGGAGGCAGGAGGAGGAAGCAAAGCCAGGUCUUCGAUGUGAAUCCAGCUGAAGGAUUAAGUCCCUCUGUCUUAUCCUUAAAGCCCUCUAAAACUGGCAGAGGUGUGAAUACAAACAAUGCCCAGCUUUAUUCUGGUUGCCUCACAGACCACAGCUGACCCAUGACUGCAUGUUCCCUCUGCUGUAGUGGUGCUGCAAUAAGAUGAACGUGCCAUAAGGGAAAUAUUGAAGGGAGAGAACACAUCCUCGCUGCAAAUUGCAACAUCUGGUUUAAUACUGCUCUCACAUGGUCAUUAAGUAUUAGUUGUUUUCACCAGUGUGUUUAUGAACAGUGUAAGUGUGAUUAGACUUUUUCUCCCUAACUAAUUUAAGAAUAUCAGGAAACAGUGAUCAAUAUCCACCUUCAAACACAUAGGGCCUGUGUAUGGCAUCAUGCCUUGCAAUUUUCAACAAACUUAGAUAUUAUUCAGUGUAUUUUUUCUUGCUAUUCUAUCAAUUUCAGACUUAUUUUCUGAUCAGUAAAGAACUUGAAAUACUGGCUGUGCUUUUUUGCCAGCUGUGUUUCCCUCACACUGUCCCCACAGGCAAACACAGGCCACACCAGCCUGGAAAAUUCUGUGCU